rnacentral:rRNA from 1 species
UGGGGAAUUUUGGACAAUGGGUGAAAGCCUGAUCCAGCCAUGCCGCGUGCAGGAUGAAGGCCUUCGGGUUGUAAACUGCUUUUGUACGGAACGAAAAGACUCUGGUUAAUACCUGGGGUCCAUGACGGUACCGUAAGAAUAAGCACCGGCUAACUACGUGCCAGCAGCCGCGGUAAUACGUAGGGUGCAAGCGUUAAUCGGAAUUACUGGGCGUAAAGCGUGCGCAGGCGGUUAUAUAAGACAGAUGUGAAAUCCCCGGGCUCAACCUGGGAACUGCAUUUGUGACUGUAUAGCUAGAGUACGGCAGAGGGGGAUGGAAUUCCGCGCGUAGCAGUGAAAUGCGUAGAUAUGCGGAGGAACACCGAUGGCGAAGGCAAUCCCCUGGGCCUGUACCGACGCUCAUGCACGAAAGCGUGGGGAGCAAACAGGAUUAGAUACCCUGGUAGUCCACGCCCUAAACGAUGUCAACUGGUUGUUGGGUCUUCACUGACUCAGUAACGAAGCUAACGCGUGAAGUUGACCGCCUGGGGAGUACGGCCGCAAGGUUG